UACGUAGGGUGCGAGCGUUGUCCGGAAUUAUUGGGCGUAAAGAGCUCGUAGGCGGUGUGUCGCGUCGGCCGUGAAAACCUGGGCUCAACUCUGGGCGUGCGGUCGAUACGGGCAUCACUGGAGUUCGGCAGGGAGACUGGAAUUCCUGGUGUAGCGGUGGAAUGCGCAGAUAUCAGGAGGAACACCGGUGGCGAAGGCGGCUUGCUGGGCCAGUUCGUGACGCUGAGGAGCGAAAGCGUGGGGAGCGAAC
rnacentral:rRNA from 1 species